UGGGGAAUAUUGCGCAAUGGGGGGAACCCUGACGCAGCCAUGCCGCGUGAAUGAAGAAGGCCUUAGGGUUGUAAAGUUCUUUCGGUAUUGAGGAGGGUUGAUGUGUUAAUAGCACAUCAAAUUGACGUUAAAUACAGAAGAAGCACCGGCUAACUCCGUGCCAGCAGCCGCGGUAAUACGGAGGGUGCGAGCGUUAAUCGGAAUAACUGGGCGUAAAGGGCACGCAGGCGGUUAUUUAAGUGAGGUGUGAAAGCCCCGGGCUUAACCUGGGAAUUGCAUUUCAGACUGGGUAACUAGAGUACUUUAGGGAGGGGUAGAAUUCCACAUGUAGCGGUGAAAUGCGUAGAGAUGUGGAGGAAUACCGAAGGCGAAGGCAGCCCCUUGGGAAUGUACUGACGCUCAUGUGCGAAAGCGUGGGGAGCAAACAGGAUUAGAUACCCUGGUAGUCCACGCUGUAAACGCUGUCGAUUUGGGGGUUGGGGUUUAACUCUGGCGCCCGUAGCUAACGUGAUAAAUCGACCGCCUGGGGAGUACGGCCGCAAGGUUA
rnacentral:rRNA from 1 species